CACCAACUGAAUACACACCCAGGUAAUCAGCAUCAAGGUUAAAAAUUGGAAUAUCAUCGGUGGCACUCCAGCAGCCCCCUUCGAUGAAGCCUUCUGGAAGCUGGCUGUCCUGGGAGCCCAGGCAACACUGAAAUGCCCUUCCAAACAAGGACCCAAGCAGCUGAAGGGCUCCGGUUACCCAAGAGCAGGUCUUCUCUGCCAAUUUUAUGUGUGUCACAUAACAUGACAGAAGAAUAUUGUGCAUCAAUUUAGAACAUAUUAAACAAGAUAGGAAGAUUAAUGAGUUUAUUCAAAAAAGAAAAUAAGUCUUGGACUCCUGAAGGAAGGUCUUGUCUCAUUCGCUUUAACAUGGAGUAAGCCCUUAAGUGCCCAAGAGUUGAAGCUUCUUGUUCCCCACUGUCAUGGAAAGCAUGCAGCAUCUUAGAUAAAAAUAAUCAGAGCUCUCUUCAGUCCGUGGUUCCAGAAAGAGAGCCUUGAGAGCUUCUGGAAUGUCUCGGCAUAGCUGAAGCAGGUCAAACACAAAUCGUUCAAAACCUCAUCACCCACACAAACGUCUUCACCUCCCCGCCUCCCCCCAUGUCAGAUGUCCCAGGAAAGCCACGGCACCCAUCACCACCGACAUAGAUCAUCCAGGAUGUGUAGCGGUCCUUGAGGUUGUACAGCACUGCAGGCUCAUUCAGGUGUGGCCGAGGGAACAUUUAAAAAUAAACACCAUGAAGAAACAAAGGCAUUCUUCAAAGACAGUGUGCGCCUCCUUCAGUGGCUAAGAAUAGAAGUGAGCCUCUGCUUACGGCCCCUGUGUGGAAGGCCUCAGCGCUGCCACCUUUCCCAACUCCACUCCUCACCUUCCCUGACUAGCUCCAGAGGGCCAGUGGGAGGAGAGAGUGAUGGGUAACCUGGAACUACCCGGAAACUUUCAGUAGCCAAAGGACAUGGCUGAUUCUCACCUGAGAGUCACACCUGCGGGAGAACAGCGGAAGGCAGCAGCAGCCGUGGAACUAUCGACCUGCAACGGCACACACAGAGGAGCUUAGGGACAGCUGGGAC